rnacentral:rRNA from 1 species
GACGAACGCUGGCGGCGUGCUUAACACAUGCAAGUCGAACGGAAAGGCCUGCUUUCCCUUGUGGAUUGCGGGUACUCGAGUGGCGAACGGGUGAGUAACACGUGAGUGAUCUGCCCCCAACUUGGGUAUAAGCCUGGGAAACUGGGUCUAAUUCCCGAUAGGACUGCAGGGUGGUGCCUGUGGUGGAAAACGAUUUUCUAGUGGUUGGGGAUGUGCUCGCGGCCUAUCAGCUUGUUGGUGGGGUAAUGGCCGCCCAAGGCGGCGCCGGGUAGCCGGCCUGGGAGGGUGGGCGGGCAAGUUGGGACUGAGAUACGGGCCAGGAUCCUACGGGAGGAAGCAGAGGGGAAUAAUGCACGAUGAGCGGAAGCCUGAGGCAGCGAGGCCGAGUGGGGGAUGACGGCCUUCGGGUUGUAAACUCCUUGCGACCGAGAGGAAGCCACCUGGUUGGAAGGGUGGUGACGGUAGUGGUAGAAGAAGCACCGGCUAACUACGUG